GCACCCGUAGCUCAGCUGGAUAGAGCGUCGCCCUCCGAAGGCGAAGGCCACACGUUCGAAUCGUGUCGGGUGCG
rfam:Streptomyces sp. AcH 505 scaffold00005, whole genome shotgun sequence.